GCAAGUACGAACGAAGCACUUAUUGAAGCCUUCGGGCAGAUUAUUUGUGACUAGUGGCGGACGGGUGAGUAACGCGUGGGUAACCUGCCUCAUACACCGGGAUAACAGUGAGAAGUUGCUGCUAAUACCGGAUAAGCAUACAGCAUCGCAUGAUGCAGUGUGAAAAACUCAGGUGGUAUGAGAUGGACCCGCGUCUGAUUAGCUAGUUGGCGAGGUAACGGCUCACCAAGGCGACGAUCAGUAGCCGACUUGAGAGAGUGAAUCGGCCACAUUGGGACUGAGACACGGCCCAAACUCCUACGGGAGGCAGCAGUGGGGAAUAUUGCACAAUGGGGGAAACCCUGAUGCCAGCGACGCCGCGUGAAGGAUGAAGUAUUUCGGUAUGUAAACUUCUAUCAGCAAGGAAGAAAAUGACGGUACUUGACUAAGAAGCCCCGGCUAAAUACGUGCCAGCAGCGGC
rnacentral:rRNA from 1 species